GCGGGUAACGGCUUACCAAGGCUAAGACGGGUAGCUGGUCUGAGAGGACGACCAGCCACACUGGAACUGAGACACGGUCCAGACACCUACGGGUGGCAGCAGUCGAGAAUUUUUCACAAUGGGCGCAAGCCUGAUGGAGCGACGCCGCGUGGGGGAUGAAUGGCUUCGGCCCGUAAACCCCUGUCAUUUGCGAUCAACUGUUGUUAUUUAAAAGAUGACAGCCUGAUAGUAGCGAAAGAGGAAGGGACGGCUAACUCUGUGCCAGCAGCCGCGGUAAUACAGAGGUCCCAAGCGUUGUUCGGAUUCACUGGGCGUAAAGGGUGCGUAGGUGGCGGGGUAAGUCGGAUGUGAAUCUCCGAGCUCAACUCGGAAACUGCAUUGGAAACUACUCUGCUC
rnacentral:rRNA from 1 species